rnacentral:rRNA from 1 species
UACGGGGGGGCAAGCGUUGUUCGGAAUUACUGGGCGGUAAAGGGCUCGUAGGCGGCCAACUAAGUCGGACGAUGAAAUCCCCAGGCUCAACCUGGGAACUGCGUCCGAUACUGGAUGGCUUGAAUCCGGGAGAGGGAUGCAGAAUUCCAGGUGUAGCGGUGAAAGUGACGUAGAUAUCUGGAGGAAUACCGGUGGCGAAGGCGGUUCUCUGGGCAUUACCUGACGCUGAGGAGCGAAAGCGUGGGGAGCGAACAGG